AUGAAAUAGACAAUUUAUUUGACAUGAGUCAAAACCUAAAUGUGAUAAUUUUACUAAGAAAACGGGAAAUAUAUGGGGAUAAAUAUACCAGAGAAAACUUAAAAUGUUUGCGGACGCUAGUAGUUAAGGGUAACAGAAAAUUUCAAAAGGUUUGGAGCAAAAGGUCGAAAACAUCAUUUCAUUAUGAAAGUGGAAGGUUGUUAACCUCAAAUUACCAUGAAUGCUUUUAUGGGUAUGGAAAAGGUGCCUCUCCCAGAAAGGUUUUCUCAGUCAUGGGUCCAAAAACAGAAGAUGCCCUCAUUUACAGCUGCUUCCAUGAUAACUUCCACCUCACAGAGAAUCGACCCUGGUUGAUAACGCUGCAGUCUCACACAGUCGGGGAAUGCCUACAGGUGUGUGACCUUGACACAGGUCGGUGUGACAGACAGAUCUUCUUGUCGCCAGUGAUCAGAUUCAAAUACCUAGCAUGGGCUGAACCAAACACAGUGUUCUUUGUGAAGUCGGUCAAUCUUGCUUACAGGCCUAGAUUUCCUAUGUUUAAUGCAAUUGGCUCUGUAGUGCUGGCAGUUUUCUCUGCAUUUCCCCUGCAAUUUGUGGGCAUGUUAGAAAUUGAUAAGCAGGUGAGACACAACUGCAUCUGUUACAUUUCCCCUGCAAUUUGUGGGCAUGUUUGAGAUUGGUAAACAGGUGAGACACAACUGCAUCUGUUACAUUUCCCCUGCAAUUUGUGGGCAUGUUUGAGAUUGGUAAACAGGUGAGACACAGCUGCAUCUGUUACAUUUCCCCUGCAAUUUGUGGGCAUGUUUGAGAUUGGUAAACAGGUGAGACACAACUGCAUCUGUUACAUUUCCCCUGCAAUUUGUGGGCAUGUUUGAGAUUGGUAAACAGGUGAGACACAACUGCAUCUGUUACAUUUCCCCUGCAAUUUGUGGGCAUGUUUGAGAUUGGUAAACAGGUGAGACACAGCUGCAUCUGUUACAUUUCCCCUGCAAUUUGUGGGCAUGUUUGAGAUUGGUAAACAGGUGAGACACAACUGCAUCUGUUACAUUUCCCCUGCAAUUUGUGGCCAUGUUUGAGAUUGGUAAACAGGUGAGACACAGCUGCAUCUGUUACAUUUCCCCUGCAAUUUGUGGGCAUGUUUGAGAUUGGUAAACAGGUGAGACACAACUGCAUCUGUUACAUUUCCCCUGCAAUUUGUGGCCAUGUUUGAGAUUGGUAAACAGGUGAGACACAACUGCAUCUGUUACAUUUCCCCUGCAAUUUGUGGGCAUGUUUGAGAUUGGUAAACAGGUGAGACACAACUGCAUCUGUUACAUUUCCCCUGCAAUUUGUGGGCAUGUUUGAGAUUGGUAAACAGGUGAGACACAACUGCAUCUGUUACAUUUCCCCUGCAAUUUGUGGCCAUGUUUGAGAUUGGUAAACAGGUGAGACACAACUGCAUCUGUUACAUUUCCCCUGCAAUUUGUGGCCAUGUUUGAGAUUGGUAAACAGGUGAGACACAACUGCAUCUGUUACAUUUCCCCUGCAAUUUGUGGCCAUGUUUGAGAUUGGUAAACAGGUGAGACACAACUGCAUCUGUUACAUUUCCCCUGCAAUUUGUGGCCAUGUUUGAGAUUGGUAAACAGGUGAGACACAGCUGCAUCUGUUACAUUUCCCCUGCAAUUUGUGGGCAUGUUUGAGAUUGGUAAACAGGUGAGACACAACAUUGAACACUAUAUAAUUCUGAACUUGCAGUUGCUUGGAUUUCUAUCUGCCUCAAGAAAGGUUUUAGAAUUCACAAAGAUGCUUAAGUUGUUAUGCUUGGUAAGGACUUUACGACAUUAGAUUAUUGAAACUGUAUUACAUCUGUACAAUUUUUAAAAAAGGCAUUUUUCUAUAUUGUUAAAUACCAAUUUAUAUUAGAGUGAUCAAAGAAAUGACCACAUGCUAAUAAUAUUAUAAGCUGAUAUUCUAGUGACGCAAACACACCUUACUACGUAUGUAUUUGUUCAUGUUCUAGUCCAUAUAUAAUAAUGAAACAAAUAUUUGUAAACAGCAUUAUUACUGAUGAAUGUAAAUGAUGUUUAUUUGGUAUUUAUGUUGUAUUCUCCAGAGGCAUAUCCUGCUUACCAGUUCAUUGUUAUUAAACUGGAAAAUUUCAAGGUGAAGAAUCCAAUAUUGAUGAGACUGUUCAAAUGAUGAAUUAUCUUUUUUGAUGUAGCGUUGUGGAUAUGGUGUCCACCUAGUGACCGGUUUCCCAAUAAGCUGUAGGCUUUUG